UUGCAUGCAGUCCAGCUGGAGCCU
rnacentral:siRNA from 1 species